GUCCCCGUAGCUCAGUGGAUAGAGCAACCGCCUCCUAAGCGGUAGGUCGCAGGUUCAACUCCCGCCGAGGACACCC
rnacentral:tRNA from 1 species